rnacentral:misc_RNA from 1 species
AAUUCUCAAAAUCCCUUCUUUGAUAGGAAAGGAUUUUGGACUUGGAGGCCUUUUGCUGGUUUCGCCUUGAAGCGAGCCCCUCCCAAAUGAAUUAGUGGGGUCUGCUUUGCCGAUCCUUGGCGUGAUAAGUCAUUUCUACGUCUUGGGGUUUGGCACUGUACACCUGCUUCUAACUGUCUCACGGACAAAGGUGGUGUUCGGGUUGCCCCCGAUUCGUCGGAGGGUGGCUCGACCCACAAAAUGAACCC